GGUUCUUUUCGUGAUGAAAAGGGUCCUUCCACAGCUGGUUCAGACAAACUACAGCAGGUGAUGAGCAUCCUGGCUAAUGCCCAGAGAUCUGUCACAUUCACUACAUGGUCCCAGGACUGCAGUGCUCUCAGCCAGCUGCAGCAUGGCUUUGCCUUCACUUUUCUCUGCCACUGAUGUAGAAGAUGCCCAAGACAACUGCUCAAACGAGUGUUAAGGGGAAAACAGUCAUCUCCUCCUGCAUGCAAAGGCUCUUGAAGAGACCUUUGCAGCUGGAAGCCUCCAGAUGCUGACCAGUGAGACAGGACAGAGAGCAAGAGGCUGGAAGAUGCUGAGGGGACUUGGCAAUAGCUCUGCACAUCCCAAGAUUACAAGCGCUAACCACUGUGAGAACAUGCUGUGCAUCCAGGAUUAUUGAUUACCCUCUCCUAAUCCCAUGAUUGAAUGCCCAGGGCAAAAAAAAAAAAAAAAAAAAAAAAAAAAAAAAGACUCCUAUUAUAUAUAGAUAGAUAGCUAUUUAAAAUCAUUACCAGAGAUUUAUAUCUCUGAGCUAGUCUUCCAUUCUCUGGGGAAACCAGACAGCUGCAUAGUAAAAGACUGAAAGCCGCAAUAAAACGAAGAAAUGAGCUUCAAUAAAUCAUUAAGCUAAAGCUCAUAAUGUUUAUCUGUAAUGUCAUGUCCCCACAAUCUACAAAAGCAGAUGUGUAACUUUUCGUUUUUCUUUUAUCAACUAUUCAACUGUCAUGUAGCUAUUAUAGAAGAUUAAAA